GGGUCUCUCUCUGGAGAUUGCUCUUCAUGGAGUUUUUGUGAGCCUCCAACAUUGCUAUGGGUUCUGAUCUGAAGAGUAUGGCCCCAGCAGCAGGAAUUUGCAAGACCAGGCAGCAUUAAAAUUCUGUGAAUCUGCUGAGAUCUGAGGUGGACUACGUGCUCCUAAGACUCACAGUCCAUGACAGGCUUCAUCUCAUCAAAAUGAAUGGUGUCUCUUUAUGGCCUGGCACGUACCGGCAGAAGGUUCUAAGUUACACCAAUGGGACAUUUAAACCUGCCCUAAAAUGCGUUUCAGGUAGGAACAGAAUGACUGUGGAGCAGCCUGCAAUGCCCAUUUGUCGAUUUCCUUGCACUGCACAUGAUCAAUCUGCAUUGCCAUGGGUAAUUUUUGCUGCAAAAGGUGCCUUGUACCAGCUUGUUGAAGCACCAUGGGAAGACACACAGACCACUUGUUUACUCUCUCCAUUUCUAGGAGGUUGGAAGAACCAAACCAUGCUAGAAACAGAACCGCUGCAAGCCAGGCAGCUGAACAGUCAGAGCUUAUGGGGGAAUCCUAGGAGGACUAUUGGAUUGAGAUUUGAGGGCUCAUCAGAGCAGAACGUUGGAUGCAGAGUUCAAAGUGCCCUUGUGUGGGUCCAUUCAGAAGCCACUCAGCAGACCACAGGCGCAUACCUUGUGAGUACUUGGUCUCCUGGAGGUCACACUGCCCCUGGAUGUUUGCUACUAGCUGCUGUGCAGCAGCACUGCCAGAUGUGGGGGAUACAAUCUGUUCCUGGCCUUUUGCUGCAGACAGAUGCAAAACCAGGACUGCUCCUACUUUGGCUCUGACUCCUGGUCGUCUCAUGUGUGACCUCAAAGCUACUGCACACCAUUGUGUACCUGCAGACUUACUGGAGCAAAGCCUCCAAAUGGCAAAUGGAAAAGCCAUCUGGACUUGUCCGUGGCCCUGCUAACUCUCAUGGUGCUGCCUUGGCUGUAGUCAACCACCUCUAGCAGGAGGAAAUGUCAUCCUUAACAAAACCAGAGAAGCUUAUCAAGUCACUGAGCAAACCUACAGUGUCCCUUGUACAGGCAGAGAUUCUUCUGAAGCCCCAUCAGAAUUUCUGGUCCAGUCAUCUGCCUCAUUCUCUCUGUUCAACAUCUGUGGUGCUUUUGUUCAGCAGGAAAAAGCAAAGAUGUUUAAAAGAAAACAAAAAACAGAGCACAAUGCAAACAAACCAAAUUAAAGAAAACGUUUUAAAGCAUUUCCUUGCUCACAAGAUGUGAGAUGGUCAUGUGUUUAAAACUGCAAUAUUAUUUCUGGCGACCGGUCUUGUGAUAUCCUUUUGUUGAUUUUUUCCAACCUCUCAAGAAACUGGAAUGAAAAUAUUUUACUGAUGUUACCAUCCCUGGGAACGGUUUGUCAACGCUGACCCAGGUUAAUGCUGCAAACUCAAAAUAUUUGGCAUGUGCUUUUGUAUUUUUCCUUCAUCAAAGAGAUUAUAUGGGGUGAAGGUCUGUUCACAUGAAAGCAGUGAGAGAUACUGGCAGUGUACUUAGCAAAACAAGAGGGGCCCUUUUAUAAAUGUGUGUGCAUAUAUGCAAAUAUGCUUUUGCAGAUGAUAAUAUAAUCAUGAAAAAGUCAUUACUGUCGCAUUAAGGUAGCUGGCUAACGGGAAAGCUGUGUGGAUGUUGUGGGGAUGGAUAUACUGUAGAAACAAGGACAUAUCCAUCACAGUUCUGUGGCAGUUCUGUGACCAGGGGAAUCAAUGGAGCCUGAUUUUCUAUGGCUUUGUGCCCUGAUGUUAUGACCCUAUCGAGAUUUUUCCAAUGUCUCAUAGGAGAUGCUGCACUUUUUACCUCAGAGAGGCACUAAGCACGGCUCUUAGCUGACUGCCUACUUUCAGAAUACUUUUAAGGAUGUAAGAGGGUUGGGUUUUUUUGGAUUUUUAUACCUUUGCCAAAUGUGCUUGCUAUAGGCCUAAACAUUUGAAGAUUCAUAGAGAGGUCUCAGAUGUACAAAGAGACGGCACGGAGUCCUAAAGCCAAUUUCUGUGAAAUCAAUUUAAGUGUCCUCACACUUUAGCUAUGGAAAAGAAAAACAAACGUGAAUUAAAACAGAAAACAUGAUUUUAAACGUAAAUACGGAAUGUGAUGGCUAAGGAAGAAAAGAUAAACAUGCAGAUUAAAAAUCAGUCACUCAGGGGAGGCCUUCCGCUAACUUGCAAUGAGAAUUUCGCACCUAAUUGCAAUCUGUGUCUUUCAAAAUCACACAACCUCUGCUGUAAAAGUACAUGAAACUUCUCACAGACGACAUUAUGUUAAAAAACUCCUCCAUUUGCUCUGGUGCCUGGGAAUAAACAAACCUGACUUCUGGUUGCAGCUUGCAGAAAAACGUCCAGAUUUCAUGGGUUCAUCUGUUACUUCCUUUUUUUUUUUUUUUAAUUUAAUUUUAAUUAAAAGAUACUGAUUUGUUGUUUUGAGAUUUGUGUUUACAUAAACAAACAAAAGAAAAGAAAUACUGAAUAAUUCCACUGAG